rnacentral:rRNA from 1 species
UAAUACGAAGGGGGCUAGCGUUGUUCGGAAUUACUGGGCGUAAAGCGCGCGCAGGCGGUCUUCCAAGUCAGUGGUGAAAGCCUGGAGCUCAACUCCAGAACUGCCAUUGAAACUGUUAGACUUGAGUACGAGAGAGGUGAGUGGAAUUCCCAGUGUAGAGGUGAAAUUCGUAGAUAUUGGGAAGAACACCGGUGGCGAAGGCGGCUCACUGGCUCGUAACUGACGCUCAGGCGCGACAGCGUGGGGAUCAAACAGGAUUAGAUACCCUGGUAGUCCACGCCGUAAACGAUGAUUGCUAGCCGUUGGGCAGCUUGCUGUUCAGUGGCGCAGCUAACGCAUUAAGCAAUCCGCCUGGGGAGUACGGCCGCAAGGUUG